rnacentral:rRNA from 1 species
AAACUUAUGCUAAUACCGGAUAGGUUUUUGGAUCGCAUGAUCCAAAAAGAAGAAGAUGGCUUCAGCUAUCACUGGGAGAUGGGCCUGCGGCGCAUUACCUAGUUGGUGGGGUAACGGCCUACCAAGGCGACGAUGCGUAGCCGACCUGAGAGGGUGACCGGCCACACUGGGACUGAGACACGGCCCAGACUCCUACGGGAGGCAGC